rnacentral:misc_RNA from 1 species
UUUCCGUAGGUGAACCUGCGGAAGGAUCAUUAAAGAGUAAGGGUCCUCUAGGCCCGACCUCCCAACCCUUUGUUUACCAAACCAAUGUUGCUUCGGCGGGCCCGUCUUAGGACCGCCGGGGGACCGUCGAAACGUCCUCUGGCCCGCGCCCGUCGAUGGCCCUUACUAUUAAACUCUGAACCAAACGUGUCCUGUCUGAGUGAUUAUUAUCAAAAUUAAAGCAAAAACUUUCAACAACGGAUCUCUUGGUUCUG